GACGAACGCUGGCGGCGUGCUUAACACAUGCAAGUCGAACGGAAAGGCCCUGCUUUUGUGGGGUGCUCGAGUGGCGAACGGGUGAGUAACACUUGAGUAACCUGCCCUUGACUUUGGGAUAACUUCAGGAAACUGGGGCUAAUACCGGAUAGGAGCUCCUGCUGCAUGGUGGGGGUGGGAAAGUUUCGGCGGUUGGGGAUGGACUCGCGGCUUAUCAGCUUGUUGGUUGGGUAGUGGCUUACCAAGGCUUUGACGGGUAGCCGGCCUGGGAGGGUGACCGGCCACAUUGGGACUGAGCUACGGCCCAGACUCCUACGGGAGGCAGGAGAGGGGUAUAUUGCACAAUGGGCGGAAGCCUGAUGCAACCACGCCGCGUGCGGGAAGACGGCCUUCGGGUUGUAAACCGCUUUCGCCUGUGACGAAGCGUGAGUGACGGUAAUGGGUAAAGAAGCACCGGCUAACUACGUG
rnacentral:rRNA from 1 species